rnacentral:rRNA from 1 species
UGCCAGACUCCUACGGGAGGCAGCAGUGAGGAAUAUUGGUCAAUGGGCGGAAGCCUGAACCAGCCAAGUCGCGUGAGGGAUUAAGGCCCUAUGGGUCGUAAACCUCUUUUGUCAGGGAGCAAUGGCGUCCACGUGUGGGCGUAUGGAGAGUACCUGAAGAAAAAGCAUCGGCUAACUCCGUGCCAGCAGCCGCGGUAAUACGGAGGAUGCGAGCGUUAUCCGGAUUUAUUGGGUUUAAAGGGUGCGUAGGCGGAAUGCCAAGUCAGCGGUAAAAUCGCGGGGCUCAACCUCGCUCCGCCGUUGAAACUGGCAGUCUCGAGUUGGAGAGAAGUAUGCGGAAUGCGCGGUGUAGCGGUGAAAUGCAUAGAUAUCGCGCAGAACUCCGAUUGCGAAGGCAGCAUGCCGGCUCCACACUGACGCUGAGGCACGAAAGCGUGGGUAUCGAACAGGAUUAGAUACCCUAGUCCAG